rnacentral:rRNA from 1 species
UGGGGAAUCUUGGACAAUGGGGGCAACCCUGAUCCAGCAAUGCCGCGUGAGUGAUGAAGGCCUUAGGGUCGUAAAGCUCUUUCGCCUGUGAAGAUAAUGACGGUAGCAGGUAAAGAAACCCCGGCUAACUCCGUGCCAGCAGCCGCGGUAAUACGGAGGGGGUUAGCGUUGUUCGGAAUUACUGGGCGUAAAGCGCACGUAGGCGGACCAGAAAGUUGGGGGUGAAAUCCCGGGGGCUCAACCCCGGAACUGCCUCCAAAACUAUUGGUCUAGAGUUCGAGAGAGGUGAGUGGAAUUCCAAGUGUAGAGGUGAAAUUCGUAGAUAUUUGGAGGAACACCAGUGGCGAAGGCGGCUCACUGGCUCGAUACUGACGCUGAGGUGCGAAAGUGUGGGGAGCAAACAGGAUUAGAUACCCUGGGUAGUCCACACCGUAAAACGAUGAAUGCCAGUCGUCGGGUAGCAUGCUAUUCGGUGACAC